GUCCAGACUCCUACGGGAGGCAGCAGUGGGGAAUAUUGCACAAUGGAGGAAACUCUGAUGCAGCAACGCCGCGUGGAGGAUGACACAUUUCGGUGCGUAAACUCCUUUUAUAUGAGAAGAUAAUGACGGUAUCAUAUGAAUAAGCACCGGCUAACUCCGUGCCAGCAGCCGCGGUAAUACGGGGGGUGCAAGCGUUACUCGGAAUCACUGGGCGUAAAGAGAAUGUAGGCGGGUAGAUAAGUUUGAAGUGAAAUCCAAUGGCUCAACCAUUGAACUGCUUUGAAAACUGUUUACCUAGAAUAUGGGAGAGGUAGAUGGAAUUUCUGGUGUAGGGGUAAAAUCCGUAGAGAUCAGAAGGAAUACCGAUUGCGAAGGCGAUCUACUGGAACAUUAUUGACGCUGAGAUUCGAAAGCGUGGGGAGCAAACAGGAUUAGAUACCCUGGUAGUCCACGCCCUAAACGAUGCACACUAGUUGUUGUGAGGCUAGACCUUGCAGUAAUGCAGUUAACACAUUAAGUGUGCCGCCUGGGGAGUACGGUCGCAAGAUUAAAACUCAAAGGAAUAGACGGGGACCCGCACAAGCGGUGGAGCAUGUGGUUUAAUUCGACGAUACGCGAAGAACCUUACCUGGACUUGACAUAGAUAGAAUAUAACAGAGAUGUAUUAGUGCUUGCUUGCAAGAGCUAUCAUACAGGUGCUG
rnacentral:rRNA from 1 species